UGAUCAGCCCGCCUCGGCCUACCAAAGUGCCGGGAUUUAAGGCGUGAGCCACAGCGCCCGGCCCCGAGAGUGAAUAUCUUUUAACAGUGUUUUUCCUGAUCUUUUCCAACAUCUUCAUUGUGGUUCUGUCCUUUAUUUUUUGGUUAAAUCCAGAGGUUUACUUCUGCCUGUAUCUUUCCAAACUAUUAAUCUGUUCACAAUCACUCUCCCAUUUAAACCCUUCAGCAACCCCAGUACCUUCGUAAUAAGGUCUCCUUAGCUUGGUAUCCAGAACACUUCAAUACUGGGCUUUGACCCCUGUUCUCCUUCCCCCACCUCUGUUUAGGUGCUUCACUGAGCUGCACCGAACAGCUCUUGGCCCCUUGAAAUCUCUGCAGUCUCCUUGUCUCCCUCUGCUGGAAUAUUCUUCUCUCACUUCAUCUGAUCAUUGCCUUCAAAACUCAGCUCAUUUUCUUAUUUCCUUGCCCUUUCCAUGUCCCUUGUUUUCCUCUGAUUAAAUUAAUGUUCCAAACUCAAAAGAAAAACAACUCAGCUCAGGCAUCACCUUUCCUGGAAGGCUUCCCUAGUCCUCCUGCCUCCCGCAGACUUGUCUGGCACCCUGUGCAUUUGGGAUUUGGCACACUAUGUCUCGUCUGCGGCCUCCACUGGACGAUGAGACCUGUUCUUGGGGAAGAUCCCGACUAAGCCAUUUUCCAGUGGCACCUCUUCCACCAUGAGUUCCUGAGGCAGUCCGAUGGGGCUACUUUAUUCCAGAACAAUCACAGUGAGACCUCUUCUCCCGAUAAAUGCCCCUUUUCUCUCCUUAAUAUAUUAUCUUGCUUACAAAACACUGGUGUCUCCUUAUCAUUGUUUGGUUCUAUCCCACUGGGACCAAGAAUUCUUGCCCAGGAGCAACUGAAUUUUCUUCUUGCUUGCUUUUUAAAACUUUGGUGGGGUAGAGCCAAUUUUAAAUCUUCUGAUCCAUUUUUUCAUUGUUUUUCUCGCCCUUCUGCAUUUUCUGCAAAUUCCGUUGAAUCAUUGCAGUUACUUAGGUUUGCUUCGUCUCCCCCAUUACAAACUACUUGCUGGAGUUUUCAACCCUAGUUCCCUCAUUUUUAUGAUUUAUGCUCAUUUCUUUGUACACAUCAUCUUGCUCCAUCUCCCAACUCAUGGCCUCUGGCCCUGGAUUAUUGUUUUAGUCUUUUAUUUUUUUGUCUUCUUCUACCUCAACACUUAUCUUCCUCUCCCAGUCUCCUGUACCCUAUCACCAAGGUUGUCAUUAACCUUUCAUAUUAUUCCUCAUUAUCCAUGUAUUCAUUUGCAAAUAAGCGUAUAUUAACAAAAUCACAGGUUUAUGGAGAUAUAAUUCACAUACCUUAAAAUUCAGGCUUUUAAAGUGUACCUUUCAUGUGGUUUUUGGUAUAUUCACAAAGUUAUGCAUUGAUCACCACCAUCUGAUUCCAUAACAUGUUCAAUACCUCAGAAAGAAGUCUGUACUCAUUAGUAGUCAUUUCACAUUCACCACUCCCUCUGGCUCUGGGCAGUCACUGAUCUUUGUGUCUCUAUGGAUUUGCCUAGUCUAGGUAUUUUUAUGUAAAUGGAAUCAUACAACAUGUGACCUUUUGUUUGGCUUUUUUCAUUUAGCAAAAUGUUAUCAAGGUCUAUCCCUGUUGUAGCAUGUAUUAGCACUUCAUUUCUUAUAUGCUGAAUGAUAUACUUUAUUUGUCCAUCAGUUGUUCAUGCUUUAUUUGUCCAUCAGUUGAUGAACAUUUGCGUUUUUGCCACUUUGGGCUAUUAUGAAUAAUGCUACUGUGAACAAGUGUGUACAAGUUCCUCUGCAAAUUUUUGUGUGGACAUAUCCUUUCAGUUCUCUCAGGUGUAUAUCUGGGAGUUGAAUUGCUGGGUCAUGUAGUAGCUAUGUUAAACAUUUUGAGAAACUGCUAUAAUGUUCUCCAGAGCUGUACCAUUUUAAAUUCUGUGUAUGAGGAUUCCACGUUCUCCACUUCCUCACCAGUGUAUGGAUUUGGGGGUAUACUUUUUAAAAAGUGGGAUUAGGCUGGGCACAGUGGCUCACACCUGUAAUCCCAACACUUCAGGAAGCUGAGGUGGGAGGAUCACUUGAGCCUAGUAGUUUGAGACCAGCCUGGGCAACAUAGGGAGACCCUGUCUCUACAAAAAAUAAUUUAAAAUAAAUUAGCUGGGCGUUGUGGCACACACCUGUAGUCCCAGCUACAUGGGAGGCUGAGGCAGAAGGAUUCCCUGAGCCCAGAAGUUUGAGGUUGCAGUGAGCCAUGAUGGCAGCACUAUACUGUAGCCUGGGUGUCAGAGCAAGACUCCGUUUCAGGGAAGAAAAAAAAAGUGGGAUGAUAUUUUUGACACUUUUCUUCUUGUUUUCUUAAUUUCAUACUUCUGGAAAUUCCAUUAAAUUAGCUGGUACCACUCUAACUCAUUGUGUUUCAUGGCUGCAUAGUAAUAUUGCAUAAUAUAAAUAUACCAUUCAUUCAUCAAAGUUAGCAGAUAUUGACUGUUAGGUGCCAGGCACUGCUCUAAGCGUUGAAGAAAAACACACAAAAACUUUAGCAUUCUUAGAGUUUAUUUUCCAAUGGAGGGGGUGGAGGGAGGUAAGAAUUUAGGAAAUAAAUUAAUUACAUAUAUAGCAUAAGGUUUCACCAGUGAGUGCAGCUUGAAUCGUUGGCGGCUUUCUUAGUAGUAUAAAUACAGUACUAAAGAUGAAAUUACUCUAAAUGGUGUUACUUAAAUUACUGUAAUAGGUAUUACUAUUAGUCACUUUGCAGGUGAAAGUGGAAACACCAUCGUAAAAUGUAAAAUAGGAAACAGCUGGUUAAUGUGGCUCUGGAGUUUUUCUAGGACAUAAACUGAUGAGCUAGAAAAGUAAAUGUGUCAGUCCUUGGUAGCAAAGUUUGUACGUUUAUAAAUUUUAUCCAAAUCCUCUUAAUCUAGUAAUUAAUAGACACUCUUCACAAAAGGAUGAGGGAGGUAUAUGUGUAUGUGUUGAAAGGUUCCGAAGGAUGCAACCGAGAGUACUUUGGGGGACGUGGCAAAACUUCCAGGCCCAUUCAAGAGUCUUGUUUUCUCCCUGAGCUUUUAUGUAUUUAUUAUAUUGCCCUAUUAAUUAUUGAGAUUGUGCCUUACAGUAAAAGCUGCUUUAAAUUGUUGACGCUAUAAUUUAAAAUAAUCUGGGUCACCUAGAGUGGUUAAGCCUGGAAGAAAAGGAUGUCCUUCCUGCCAGGGCAGAUUGUAUGUAGAUAUGCAACCUGGUUGCGCCUGUGCUGACCUCUACUCUGUUGGGCCUGGAAGUAUGCAGUUCAACGUUUCUCUUCUGAUGUUUUUUUGGG
rnacentral:lncRNA from 10 species